AGAUGAUGCUGAUGCUAAACGAGGUUGCUUUCCUGUUGUGCUGUCAUAUUUGGAGCACUGGGGCGAAGAGUUACUGAGAACGCCUGUAUGUCUUUUAGCUCAUCUGAUCUCCUCAUUAUGAUUCCAAAAAGGAAAAAAGUAAGCAAAACUGUAAUCUCAAGUAGCAGACGAGAUGUGGGACGGCCAAGGAAAUCUAUCUGAACUUGCCAGUUUCCAUUUUCCACCUUCUACUCGACUCCUUUUCUACCUGCACCAAAAUGUGAUUUCAUCAAUAUAAACCGAUGAAUUUUGCAAACUGAAAAGCUUGGUUCAUAAACAAUCUGGACCGCAAGAGAUUUGUUACAUCUUACCUCCGAUUACUGCGCAUUUAUUCAUCAAAAUGAAUGGACACCUUGAUCAGAGACAGGAUGUAGAAGAAGAAUCCUCCUGAAGAAGAGUUUGCACCGAUAAUGUCAACAUACCCUCCCAUCAGCUCCGCCACUGAAUACUGCGUAUCAGUCCAUGCAAGUGAUUCUUAGUAUACGAUAAUGCACGCUGUCGUUAGAAAGGGGAAAGAAACUUCCUUUAUUUCUAAUCCAGUUGCAUAAUUCUCGAGCAAUACCUGUUUUCAGCAGGGCUUGGACAACUCCCGAUCAUACCCUAAAGAAAAAUCAUGUACCCAUGUCACACUCGCUCCAAGAUCUCUAACCAAAAUGGUUGGUCUUACUUACGAGAGAAGGAACGUAUUUGCUUAAAGAGCACCAGCUGAACGUCAUGAAGGAUAGAUAAGUUAUCUGUAAGGAAUAAUUUAGCCUGAGAACCAGCUAACUCCUUCACUUUGUGAACUGCUGCUAAUCUUCCAGGCUCUUACCUGAACCAGUCUCUAUAGUAAGCCUACACAGAUGAUAUAAGAAUUUCAACCAAACAGAUUCAUAGCGGACAUGAAACCUAGACCGCCAUAGGGGCGGGGGCGACCAGUGUAAUGAGAAAAAAAAAAGUGAGAAAAAUUAGAGGCGGUUAAGACUUGAGAACAUACAAAUAGAGAACGAAUAUAGACCUGGGACAAAAAUUCAUAACCGACUUCAUAACAGGUCAACGAUUCUAUAACAUUUUUACAAAAGAAAGCCAUCUACUGAUAGGCAACUUACCCUGGUGUUUCGCAUCUCUGUAAGCUCUUGCCCACCAUUCAGAGCCACACCUAGAUCACCAGUUGAGAAUGAACUCAAUGCAAGGG
rnacentral:lncRNA from 1 species